CCUACGGGUGGCAGCAGUGAGGAAUAUUGGUCAAUGGCCGGAAGGCUGAACCAGCCAAGCCGCGUGAAGGACGAAGGUGCCAAGCAUUGUAAACUUCUUUUGUCAAGGGACAAAAUCAGGCUCGAGAGCCUGACCGCGUGUACUUUAAGAAAAAGCAUCGGCUAACUCCGUGCCAGCAGCCGCGGUAAUACGUAGGGGGCGAGCGUUAUCCGGAUUUACUGGGUGUAAAGGGAGCGUAGACGGCGGCGCAAGUCUGAAGUGAAAGCCCGUGGCUCAACUGCGGAACCGCUUUGGAAACUGCGAGGCUGGAGUGCUGGAGAGGUAAGCGGAAUUCCUGGUGUAGCGGUGAAAUGCGUAGAUAUCAGGAGGAACACCGGUGGCGAAGGCGGCUUACUGGACAGUGACUGACGUUGAGGCUCGAAAGCGUGGGGAGCGAACAGGAUUAGAUACCCGAGUAGUC
rnacentral:rRNA from 1 species